CAGUAGCCACGGUAAUACGAAGGGGGCUAGCGUUGUUCGGAUUUACUGGGCGUAAAGCGCACGUAGGCGGAAAUUUAAGUCAGGGGUGAAAUCCCGAGGCUCAACCUCGGAACUGCCUUUGAUACUGGGUUUCUUGAGUCCGGAAGAGGUGAGUGGAACUGCGAGUGUAGAGGUGAAAUUCGUAGAUAUUCGCAAGAACACCAGUGGCGAAGGCGGCUCACUGGUCCGGAACUGACGCUGAGGUGCGAAAGCGUGGGGAGCAAACAGGAUUAGAUACCCGCGUAGUCCCUGUCUCUUAUAC
rnacentral:rRNA from 1 species